rnacentral:tRNA from 1 species
GGUCAUGGCUCAGAGGCACAGCAUCCGCUUGGCAUGCAGAAGGUCCCAAGUUCAAUCACUGGCAUCUCCA